GAUGAACGCUAGCGGGAGGCUUAACACAUGCAAGUCGAGGGGCAUCACGAGGUAGCAAUACUUUGGUGGCGACCGGCGCACGGGUGAGUAACGCGUAUGCAACCUACCCUGUACAGGGGGAUAGCCCGGAGAAAUUCGGAUUAAUACCCCAUAAUGAUAUUUUAUGGCAUCAUAAAAUAUUUAAAGCUCAGGCGGUACGGGAUGGGCAUGCGUAACAUUAGCUAGUUGGUAGGGUAAUGGCCUACCAAGGCGACGAUGUUUAGGGGUCCUGAGAGGGUGAUCCCCCACACUGGUACUGAGACACGGACCAGACUCCUACGGGAGGCAGCAGUGAGGAAUAUUGGUCAAUGGGCGCGAGCCUGAACCAGCCAUCCCGCGUGGAGGAAGACUGCCCUAUGGGUUGUAAACUUCCUUUCCAGGGGAAUAAAAUCUCGAACGAGUUCGGGUCUGGAGGUACCCUGGGAAUAAGCAUCGGCUAAAUACGUGCCAGCCGCCGCAGUAA
rnacentral:rRNA from 1 species